rnacentral:rRNA from 1 species
AGCUGGAAUCGCUGUAAUCGCGAAUCAGAAUGUCGCGGUGAAUACGUUCCCGGGUCCUUGUACACACCGCCCGUCACACCAUGGGAGUCGGGAAUGCCCGAAGUCAGUGACCCAACCAUAUGGAGGGAGCUGCCGAAGGCAGGUCUGAUAACUGGGGUGAAGUCGUAACAAGGUAGC